rnacentral:rRNA from 1 species
UGAGGAAUAUUGGACAAUGGGCGCAAGCCUGAUCCAGCAAUGCCGCGUGCAGGAUGAAGGCCUUCGGGUUGUAAACUGCUUUUGUACGGAGCGAAAAGGUCUGCCCUAAUACGGUGGGCUCAUGACGGUACCGUAAGAAUAAGCACCGGCUAACUACGUGCCAGCAGCCGCGGUAAUACGUAGGGUGCGAGCGUUAAUCGGAAUUACUGGGCGUAAAGCGUGCGCAGGCGGUUAUAUAAGACAGAUGUGAAAUCCCCGGGCUCAACCUGGGACCUGCAUUUGUGACUGUAUAGCUAGAGUACGGUAGAGGGGGAUGGAAUUCCGCGUGUAGCAGUGAAAUGCAUAGAUAUGCGGAGGAACACCGAUGGCGAAGGCAAUCCCCUGGACCUGUACUGACGCUCAUGCACGAAAGCGUGGGGAGCAAACA